CCAAUAGCGUAUAUUAAAGUUGUUGCAGUUAAAAAGCUCGUAGUUGAACUUCGGGGUUUACCCAUUGGUCAGGCUUAAUUGUCUGCACUGGUGAGAUGAAUCUCUACCUUCUGAGGAACUUUCAUGCCAUUUAUUUGGUGUGAUGGGAAAUCAGGACUGUUACUUUGAAAAAAUUAGAGUGUUUAAAGCAGGCUAACGUCUGAAUACAUUAGCAUGGAAUAAUGAAAUAGGACGGACUGAUUCUAUUUCGUUGGUUUCUAGGAUCACCGUAAUGAUUAAUAGGGUUAGUUGGGGGCAUUAGUAUUCAAUUGUCAGAGGUGAAAUUCUUGGAUUUAUUGAAGACUAACUACUGCGAAAGCAUUUGCCAAGGAUGUUUUCAUUAAUCAAGAACGAAAGUUAGGGGAUCGAAGACGAUCAGAUACCGUCGUAGUCUUAACCAUAAACUAUGCCGACUAGGGAUCGGAUGAUGUUAAUUUUUUAAUGACUCAUUCGGCGCCUUACG
rnacentral:rRNA from 1 species